GGGAGGAUUGCACACAGAAAAUAUAUAUAGCCAAAUACAAGCAUGGCAUCCAUACUUUUCUUCACGUCGUAUUGAUGCAGACUCACUCAUGGGGCCCCAACUAACUGAAAGGGAUGCAGAAUUUUGUAGUGUCCAAGGGGAAAAUGAAUUGGGCUUGGGGUACAUGUAGCAUAGGCUCUGCUACAGAGUGGCCUUUAAGUCACCAAAAUUCAUAUUUCUCUUUCCCCCUCACAUAGAGCACAUUCGCUGUAUCUCCAAAGAAGAAGAUGUGAGGAGCCAGCCAAAGUAUUAUCUAGUGAUGCAUCCAUAUCAAUGUUCUGGAAUGUGGGGUCAUGUGUCCUCUUCCCCAUAGUGGCUGGAUGUGGCUCUGUGUAUGCUGUGGAGACAGGAUCGUAUUUCUUUGAAUUUAUAUUUUGGAGACCAAAAGGUACCAGUGUACAUAUAUAAUAGUUUUUUUUUUUUUUUGAGGGAAAAAGAGAAAAAGAAGGGGAAAAAAGAAAAAGAGGGAAAAAGGAAUAUUACUUCAUUCCUAAAAUGGGUUUCAAUAAUGGCCGAUCAAUAUUUUGAGUGUUUAAAGUGGUUAAUGCAUAUUUUAUGUGUUUAAAAUGGAGACCUCUAUUGUGUUUAUUUGUUCUGGGUCUGAGUUCAAGUCCUGGAUAUCGUUAUCAAUUUGUUGCCUCGUUGAAUAAUGUUUUAUUUUAUAACAUAAAAUUCCAGGCUCAAGCUGAAGGCUUUGAGGCCAGUACAUGGAGUGGCCUCAAUGGACUCAAGUGAUAGCAAGCUGAAUUUGGUCCCUAUUAUAUCUUUCUGCCCCUAUUGUUACUUCCUGGACUAUAUUAUGUUUUGCAGCAAAAGGGAUUUUGCAGACUUAAUUAAGGUUACUAAUCAGUUGACAGAAAAUGAUCAUCUCAGUGGACCUAAUCUAAUCACAUGAGCCCUUAAAAAUAGAAAGCUUGCUCUGGCUGGCAGAGAAAGAGUCCAAGUUUGAGACUCCACGAGUUAUUGCUGCUUUGAAGAUGAAGACAGCCAUGUUAGAGAGAAUACAGGAGGCCCAGAGGAGCAGGUGGCAGCUCCCAGCUGACAGCAAAGGAAAGGCUGCCUCAGACUUGUAGGUGCGAGGAAUUUGCUUUUUCACAACAUCCUGAAUGAACUUCAAAGUCGAUUUUCCCCCAGAAUCUCCAGACAGGAGCCCAACAGCUGCAGCCUCGAUUUCAACCUUGGAGAUCAUGUGCAGAGAGCCCAGUAGAUUCCAUCCAGACUUCUGCACCCACCUACAAAAUUGUGAGAAAAUAAAUGGGUGUUCUUUUAAGAACA
rnacentral:lncRNA from 13 species